rnacentral:lncRNA from 1 species
UGUCCCUUUAUUUUUCUUUUAUUUCUUAUUUUCUUUGCAUCACAUUGGGAACAAUGUGUGGCUUAAGUGUGGGGGUGGGACAUACAGCAUUUUUAGGUUCCACUUUGAUAUUUUUCUAUAUCCUCUCGGCCAAACUAAAAAUUUUCUCACGACACCCACUGAUGCACACUUUAGCCUUAGGCACAGACAUAUACACUUUCAACAGUUUUUAACCCCAUCUUUUUCACUACUAUCUUAGUUAUUCUCA